GGGACGGGUGAGUAACACGUGGAUAACCUACCUAUAAGACUGGGAUAACUUCGGGAAACCGGAGCUAAUACCGGAUAAUAUUUUGAACCGCAUGGUUCAAAAGUGAAAGACGGUCUUGCUGUCACUUAUAGAUGGAUCCGCGCUGCAUUAGCUAGUUGGUAAGGUAACGGCUUACCAAGGCAACGAUGCAUAGCCGACCUGAGAGGGUGAUCGGCCACACUGGAACUGAGACACGGUCAAG
rnacentral:rRNA from 1 species